GACGAACGCUGGCGGCGUGCUUAACACAUGCAAGUCGAACGGAAAGGCCCUGCUUUUGUGGGGUGCUCGAUUGGCGCACGGGUGAGUAUCACGUGUGUAACCUGCCCCUGUCUUUGGGAUAACUUCAGGAAACUGGGGCUCAUACCGGAUAUGAGCUCCUGCUGCAUGGUGGUGGUUGGUAAGUUUCGGCGGUUGGGGCUGGACUCGCGGCUUAUCAGCUUGUUGGUGGGGUAGUGGCUUACCAAGGCUUUGACGGGUAGCCGGCCUGAGAGGGUGACCGGCCACAAGGGGACUGAGAGACGGCCCAGACUGCUACGGGAGGCAGCAGGGGGGAAUAUGGCAGAAUGGGCGGAAGCCUGAUGCAGCAACCCCGCGUGCGGGAUGACGGCCUUCGGGUGGUAAACCGCUUUCGCCUGUGACGAAGAGUGAGUGACGGUAAUGGGUAAAGAAGCACCGGCUAACUACGUG
rnacentral:rRNA from 1 species